GCUCUUAUAGUUCAGCUGGUAGAGCGUGCGCUGUACAAAACGUAGGCAGCGUCCAUGCGUGGGUUCGAAUCCCACUGAGACUA
rnacentral:tRNA from 1 species